UACAGAGGUCCCAAGCGUUGUUCGGAUUCACUGGGCGUAAAGGGUGCGUAGGUGGUGAGGUAAGUCGGAUGUGAAAUCUCGGAGCUCAACUCCGAAAUGGCAUUGGAAACUACCUUGCUCGAGGGUUGGAAGGGGGACUGGAAUACUUGGUGUAGCAGUGAAAUGCGUAGAUAUCAAGUGGAACACCAGUGGCGAAGGCGAGUCCCUGGACAACUCCUGACACUGAGGCACGAAAGCUAGGGGAGCAAACAGG
rnacentral:rRNA from 1 species